rnacentral:lncRNA from 1 species
CAAAAGCUCUGUGUUCUUGGGAGCAACCAAGAUGCAAUCGGUCAGAGAAAUGGUUUCUUCCCGGAUCCAUGUGAGUUAAACUGUUGUGUGACUGGAGAUACUCGCGCCUGCAGAGUUGUGGUGACAAGCAAGCCCUCCUCUUUGCUCCCUGUCUGAAGUCUGCAUGUUCCAUGAGUCCUUCAGGGAGCCUGAUUCUUAUAAGGGGGUCACUGAACGAACCACAACAGUGUCUUCCUUGGAGAAAAGGAAAGGAAAUCGCCACCGUUUGAGAACACCACACAAAUUCAUUCCCGUCAGAUGCUGUCCAUGUGUGAGUUACGCGUGCCCACUGCCAGGUAAGAUACCUCCUGAAGAAAGGUCCUCUUCCUCUGGGACCUCCAAAGCUGACGCCAGGUCUCCAAGGAAGUGAAACAUCACAAGACCAGGCAGAAUUAACACAAAAUGUGAGACCUUAUUCAAUUCUUCUUCUCUCAAAGAUCAAACAAAUCACAAUGGCGUUAGCACCAUCACCAUAUACACACGUGGGUAUAGAGAAAUCUCGAGUAACCUAUAGAGACCCAGGAAAUAGCCAUGUAGUUAAGAGUCUGUGCGUUGUCA